UACGUAGGGUGCAAGCGUUUGUCCGGAAUUAUUGGGCGUAAAGAGCUCGUAGGCGGUCUGUCGCGUCGGCUGUGAAAUCCCGGAGCUCAACUCCGGGUCUGCAGUCGAUACGGGCAAACUGGAGUACUGCAGGGGAGACUGGAAUUCCUGGUGUAGCGGUGAAAUGCGCAGAUAUCAGGAGGAACACCGAUGGCGAAGGCAGGUCUCUGGGCCACUACUGACGCUGAGAAGCGAAAGCAUGGGGAGCGAACAGG
rnacentral:rRNA from 1 species